UACGUAGGGGCAAGCGUUGUCCGGAUUUACUGGGCGUAAAGGGCGUGCAGGCGGUCUGUUAAGUUCAGGGUGAAAGCUCCCGGCUCAACUGGGAGAGGUCCUUGGAUACUGGCAGACUUGAGGAGGGUAGAGGAGAGUGGAAUUCCCGGUGUAGUGGUGAUAUGCGUAGAUAUCGGGAGGAACACCAGUGGCGAAGGCGGCUCUCUGGGCCCUACCUGACGCUGAGACGCGAAAGCGUGGGGAGCGAACCGG
rnacentral:rRNA from 1 species